GACGAACGCUGGCGGCGUGCUUAACACAUGCAAGUCGAACGGAAAGGCCCUGCUUUUGUGGGGUGCUCGAGUGGCGAACGGGUGAGUAACACGUGAGUAACCUGCCCUUGACUUUGGGAUAACUUCAGGAAACUGGGGCUAAUACCGGAUAGGAGCUCCUGCUGCAUGGUGGGGGUUGGAAAGUUUCGGCGGUUGGGGAUGGACUCGCGGCUUAUCAGCUUGUUGGUGGGGUAGUGGCUUACCAAGGCUUUGACGGGUAGCCGGCCUGAGAGGGUGACCGGCCACAUUGGGACUGAGAUACGGCCCAGACUCCUACGGGAGGCAGCAGUGGGGAAUAUUGCAAGAUGGGCGGAAGCCUGAUGCAGCAACGCCGCGUGCGGGAUGACGGCCUUCGGGUUGUAAACCGCUUUCGCCUGUGACGAAGCGUGAGUGACGGUAAUGGGUAAAGAAGCACCGGCUAACUACGU
rnacentral:rRNA from 1 species